GCUGGCGGCUCCUCGUGGCGUGGUCCUCGAGGUGGCGGCGGCUAGGGUGCCUUGGCCCUGCACCGGGAGCUCUGCCCCGCGGCCCCAGUGAGCACGUGAAGCUGGGCGAGGCACAGAAGGAAACGACACAGUGCAACCACCAGAGCGAAGCUGUGUGGACUCUUCAGAGGGCUUACUUCGCCAGCAGGAUCGUGUCUGAAGGUGCAGGACUCGACUUAAAAGAUAAAGCAGAGACCGCAGCUAAGAACCAGCUGAUCUGCGCCCAGGCCUGUCCUCUCUCUCUGUCACGUCCCGGCCCAAACGAGAUCACUGGUUUGAGAUGAAAGAGGUACGGACUGAAUAUCUGUGUCCCCCAAAACCAGGGGGACGGUGUCAGGAGGUGGGCGGGGGGAGGUGAUGAGUCUUGGGGGUGGAGCCCCCAGGACGGGGUUGGUGUCCUUACAGGGGAGACACCCCCCCAGGAAACGGGAAGCAAGCGGCCUCCAGAUGCCCGUCUCCUGAUGCCCUCAGCUGGGACGUCCAGCCCCAGACCUGGGAGACGCACGUGUCUGUGGUGUUUAAGUCCAGCCCAGGGAGGUCAAGGUCACGGGGCCGUCAAGAGGCUGUAAACAUGCACGAACACACGACAGAAGGCAGUGCGGGGGCUGCUCAACCAGCUCUGGACAUACGCGCAGCUAAGGGACAGUAUGUACGCACUGCUGGCGCCGUGGCACAAGGCGGUGUGUCACCUUCACUAAUUUUUUCGCCCCGUCGAGAAAGCAGUGCUGCUCUUUCUUCUCUUGCGCCAGCCACGCCUGACGCCAGUGACUCCACGGGCUGUGGCCCUCGUCCAGAGGAGGCUCUCACAAAGCCGGAAACGCGCGAGGCGGGGGCUGGGCGUGUGACCCCUGCCUGAGGACACCUUAUCAGCGCGUGAGGCAAGCUCGAAUCACAGUGCCACCUCCGCCACGUGAAGGAUGCCUGGGUUUUGUGCAACUCCCGCGCUCGCAGCGUCUCUGGGUCUUUACCGCGGUCAGAGGUUUCCGGACGGUCUCCCGUUCCUGCCCCCGAGACGCGUUCUCACUAUUGUGCCUGACCGGGAACACAGCACAAUGAACGUUUUCCAAAAAGGCAGAGACGUGGGAGAUGCCUUUUCAUGUCACAGACUUCUUAGUGUUCCUUUCAGGAAGUGGAGUCCAGCCAGGUGACAAGAAUUCAAGGAAAGGAAAUGGGUCCGGGAAGGGAGGGGAGCCUGGGGAGCAGGAGCCACGGAGGCGCCUGGCCCUCGCAGCCUCUGUCUCCCAUCGGGUGGUACGUGGUCACUGCAGGCAAGGAGAGUCCCCAGGCUGUCCCCUGGGGUCCUGCGAAGACCAAAGCACAGGUGCGCUUCAGAUACACCCAAACGACUGCGCCGGCCCGGGCUCCGAGCUCACACACGGGCUGAAGCUUGUCUGAAGCUGGUCGUGAUGCUGAACAGGAGGUGAGCAGAAGGCCGCCUGUGGCCCAGGCUUCCUGGGAGGGAGCCGCUGGCUUUGCCGUCACUGGUUCUGGGAACCGCAGCCAGGAAGCUCAUCACUGUGCUGCCUUUGGAAGGAGUUUCAGUGGGACGCCCUCUCCAGGUUGAUCACAGCCUCCUCAGGUCCGAAGCAGGGACGCACGCCCCUCCCUGGACGGAGGCGGCUCCCCCCCCCAGCCCCACCUCUGCUGCUGCCCCGCCGGGGACCUGCGGGCUCCUGCCUCUGGGUCAGAGCUUCCUGCACUGCGCGGCCGGACCCACCAGCGUCUGUGCCCCAAACGCCUGUUUACUCCUGAACCAGUGAGCCAGUGAAUGAAC